AAAAGCUGAGGAAAAGGAAACCAACCGGGAUUGCCUUAGUAACGGCGAGUGAAGCGGCAAAAGCUCAAAUUUGAAAUCUGGUACCUUCGGUGCCCGAGUUGUAAUUUGGAGAGGGCAACUUUGGGGCCGUUCCUUGUCUAUGUUCCUUGGAACAGGACGUCAUAGAGGGUGAGAAUCCCGUGUGGCGAGGAGUGCGGUUCUUUGUAAAGUGCCUUCGAAGAGUCGAGUUGUUUGGGAAUGCAGCUCUAAGUGGGUGGUAAAUUCCAUCUAAAGCUAAAUAUUGGCGAGAGACCGAUAGCGAACAAGUACAGUGAUGGAAAGAUGAAAAGAACUUUGAAAAGAGAGUGAAAAAGUACGUGAAAUUGUUGAAAGGGAAGGGCAUUUGAUCAGACAUGGUGUUUUGUGCCCUCUGCUCCUUGUGGGUAGGGGAAUCUCGCAUUUCACUGGGCCAGCAUCAGUUUUGGUGGCAGGAUAAAUCCAUAGGAAUGUAGCUUGCCUCGGUAAGUAUUAUAGCCUGUGGGAAUACUGCCAGCUGGGACUGAGGACUGCGACGUAAGUCAAGGAUGCUGGCAUAAUGGUUAUAUGCCGCCCGUCUGA
rnacentral:rRNA from 1 species